rnacentral:rRNA from 1 species
CACGUAGGAGGCGAGCGUUAUCCGGAUUUACUGGGCGUAAAGCGUGUGCAGGCGGUCUGGCAAGUUGGAUGUGAAAGCUCCUGGCUCAACUGGGAGAGGUCGUUCAAUACUGCUGGACUUGAGGAUGGUAGAGGGAGGUGGAAUUCCGAGUGUAGUGGUGAAAUGCGUAGAUAUUCGGAGGAACACCAGUGGCGAAAGCGGCCUCCUGGACCAUUUCUGACGCUCAUACACGAAAGCUAGGGGAG